GCGAGCCUGUAUUUCCAAGCGUCGCCCUACCUCGCCCGCGAGCGCCUGGGCCGGGCUGCUGGUCACCCCGCGCGAACGAAGUGCCUGCCAGACGGAGAGGCUCAUUUCUGAGCACCGGAGCCACUGUUCACCCACAGAUCAACCACGCUUCAUGACAGACCGCUUCCGCUCCUCCAAAUUCACUUUCUACUUGUGAUACCGUCUCCACGUGGACUUCCUAUAAUUGCAGCAAGUGUGUAUCUACCGCCCGGUGUUCUUGUGACGAGUGCGUACCUACCGCCUGGUGUUCCUGCCCGGAGUGUGUAUCUACCACCUGGUGUUUUUGCAGCAACUGUGUAUCUACCACCCGCAUAACACCCUCCAGUUCCAUCCAUGUCAAUGCAAAUUACCAUCCGGUAUUCCUGCGGCAAGUGUGUAUCUACCCUCCGGUGUUCCUACGGCGAGUGUGUAUCUACUGCCCGGUGUUCCUGCGACAAAAAACCCCGUGCCCGAAACACGACGGAGCUUACUCACGAUGCUGCCCUACAACACGAAACAGUCUCAUCCCUAUAGUACCAGUGCACCUGCUUCUGAAAAUAAACCUACCGGGAAAGACUGCAAAACAGCAUUCUGACGUGCUCCCCUCACGAAAAUAGGCUUGUGGUUUCAUGCCUAAAAUUGGAGCUAAGUCACUAGGUGACUGUCCAGGGACGUCUCCCCCGAAUGGCCGAGACGCUCUUCCUUCUCUGACCGGCAAGAACUACAUGCAGACUCAAAAACUGCCUCCUGAGUGAGAUCAUUCAUCUAUUCCACAAAAUACUUGGAAUGUAUUGUGGCCAAUGGACCAUGCUUCCAGGCUGGGAGGGAUCCAAAGAUAAAUUCAAAGUAAAACCUGGGUUUAGCAGACUUGAAUUCUCACGUGUGGAACGGCGUUAAGCCAAGUCCACAGACACCUGUAAAGUUACA